rnacentral:rRNA from 1 species
AUGCAGUGGAGCGGCGAGAAACGCAGCACCUUUCGGCUCCUGUGCAAAGCAAAGCAGCUCGAGAUUUGUCACGUGUUGGUUUUUCCCCCUCUUUUUGUCUCGAACGGAAAAGAAAAAGGAAGGUUGGCGUUGGGAAUCGAAUGGACGGGCGCGCGGCCACGCUCCCUCGGCGGCCACCGUCAGAUGCGGCGGGCGCGUUUAUGGCGCCGCGCCGCGCCACGCUCCCCGCGCCGCCGCCGUCCGAUGGGCGUGUCGUGCACGGCGGGGAUCGCGUCUCAUCCAAAACCCCCCACCGACCCGGCCUCCUCGCCAUUUCCCCCUCCCCCCUCUUCUCUCUCCAGUCUCCCCCUGCGCACGCGGCCUCCCUCCCUUUCUCUCUCCUCCCGCUUCCCUCCCGUUGCUCUGCCUCUCGCUCCCUCGUCCGAUCUGCAUCUGCCCCCCUUGUCCUUCCGUCUUCUCGUUUUCUUUCUUCCUUCGUUCUCGGCAGUGUCAAGAUUUGUCUUUGUUUUCCCGGAGCGGCGGCGGCGGCGGUGGUGGAGUGGUGGUGCGGCGGGAGAUUCAGGGAGAUCUAGCUCGAUCUGCCUCUGUUCUUGGAGCUCGAGGGCGCGGGGAGCCGAGAUGGCGGCGCAGGAGCAGGAGCAGCAGGCCAAGACGAGCACCACCAGCUCGCUGCCGUCCAGCAGCGACCGCUCCUCCAGCUCCGGCCCCAACAACCUCAAGGAAGGAGGCGCGGAGAGCGACGAGGAGAUACGGCGGGUGCCGGAGAUGGGCGGCGGGUCGGCGUCGUCCGGCGCGGGGGACGGCAAGCAGCUGCAGCUGGCGGCGGCCGGGGGCGGGCAGGCCCCGGCGGGGAAGAAGCGCGGGCGCGCCGCCGGGGACAAGGAGCAGAACCGGCUGAAGCGGCUGCUGCGGAACCGCGUGUCGGCGCAGCAGGCCCGCGAGCGGAAGAAGGCCUACAUGACGGAGCUGGAGGUCAAGGCCAAGGACCUCGAGCUCCGCAAUGCCGAGCUGGAGCAGAAGGUCUCCACCCUCCAGAACGAGAACAACACGCUCCGCCAGAUACUGAAGAACACGACGGCGCACGCCGGGAAGAAGCCGAGCGGCGGCAAGGGGGGAGACAGCGGCAAGAAGCACCACCACCACUUCGGCAAGGGCUAG